UGUCGCCUACGGGGCGCAGCGGUGAGGAAUAUUGGUCAAUGGGCGAGAGCCUGAACCAGCCAAGUCGCGUGAGGGAGUACUGCCCUAUGGGUUGUAAACCUCUUUUGUCGGGGAGCAAAAGCCGGACGUGUCCGUCUGUGAGAGUACCCGAAGAAAAAGCAUCGGCUAACUCCGUGCCAGCAGCCGCGGUAAUACGGAGGAUCCGGGCGUUAUCCGGAUUCAGUGGGUUUAAAGGGUGCGUAGGUUGUUUUAUAAGUUAGCGGUGAAAUACCGAUGCUCAACA
rnacentral:rRNA from 1 species